rnacentral:tRNA from 1 species
GCAUUGGUGGUUCAGUGUAGAAUUCUCGCCUGCCACGCGGAGGCCCGGGUUCGAUUCCGGCCAAUGCA